rnacentral:tRNA from 1 species
UGUGGCGUGUCGUCGGGCGGCUCGGUGGCCGGGAUGCUGCGGUUGUCCCGGGAAGUCGAAAACGCGGUGAUGGUCGCGAUCAUUUGUGACCGCGGCGACC